rnacentral:tRNA from 1 species
GGGUAGUUAGCUCAGUUGGUAGAGCAGUUGACUCUUAAUCAACGGGUCGUGGGUUCGAGUCCCACACCACCCA